rnacentral:rRNA from 1 species
AUUGAACGCUGGCGGCAGGCCUAACACAUGCAAGUCGAGCGGAUGAGUGGAGCUUGCUCCAUGAUUCAGCGGCGGACGGGUGAGUAAUGCCUAGGAAUCUGCCUGGUAGUGGGGGACAACGUUUCGAAAGGAACGCUAAUACCGCAUACGUCCUACAGGAGAAAGUGGGGGAUCUUCGGACCUCACGCUAUCAGAUGAGCCUAGGUCGGAUUAGCUAGUUGGUGAGGUAAAGGCUCACCAAGGCGACGAUCCGUAACUGGUCUGAGAGGAUGAUCAGUCACACUGGAACUGAGACACGGUCCAGACUCCUACGGGAGGCAGCAGUGGGGAAUAUUGGACAAUGGGCGAAAGCCUGAUCCAGCCAUGCCGCGUGUGUGAAGAAGGUCUUCGGAUUGUAAAGCACUUUAAGUUGGGAGGAAGGGCAGUAAGUUAAUACCUCGCUGUUUUGACGUUACCAACAGAAUAAGCACCGGCUAACUUCGUGCCAGCCGCCGCGGUAAGAC